UUUAUUGUUUUUGUUUGACACACCUUGUGGUCAGUGUAUUAUUUACAUUACCAUGGCUGGGUGAUAGCUGAGGUGCAUAUUUUGUGUCUCAUUUGGAGAUUUUUCUUUGGUUUCAUUAUUCUGACCUUGAAAGUCAGUCUGUUGCUCUUUCUCUUACUCAAAGAUUGUCUUGAUUUGAAGGGCAGGUGUCUGCCAAGGAAGGCAGGAACCUCUCUUAGAAUGGUAAAUAUGACUCUCCUCCCUCCAAAUUAUUAUGACUUUGAAAUUAAGGGUGUUCUAGGCAAAGAUGGGAAAAGGAGCAGCAGUUCUUUGCUAGUAUGUACAUGUAUAACGAGGCAAACAAACAGAACAGGAACCCAGUGCCAGCCCUCUCUCGGCCGCAGGCACUUUCCCCUUGGGUGCAGUUCCGGGCACGGCCGGCAGGGGCGCUGGUGGCUCCCGGCCGGGCAGGGCGGGUGCGAUGAUUCCCCCGCGGCUGCAGGGGGCGCUGUGGCGCGAGCUCAGCCGCCUUUCUGCACGCGGUAAUGGCGGGCGGGAUGGAAAAGGCGCUGCCUUUGCAAACCCACGGGGGCAGCCGGUCCCGGUGCCCCUCUGCAUGGCGAGAUGGGCUGUAGCAGCAACCUCGGAGCCACAGCUGGAACGGCAGCGACGAGCAGACCCCGAAGCAGCAAAUGAAAUGUAUGAGAAACUCGGCAGCUGUAGCAGGAGCCGCGGGUGUCCCGGCAGGCAGGGGAUGUGGGGUUACAGCGCAGUGAAAAACCCAGAGCAGUGGCAGAGAAGCAGUGGGGCUGGGCAGCGGCAGCCAGUCUCUUGAACAUGGCCAGGAGAGGCUCCCUUGAAGGGGCUCUGGGGUUCAGGGUCCUGGGUUUUCCCCUGAGGCACUCCAGUAGAUGGUGAGGGUCCUUAUAGUGAGGUCAGGUGUUAAUAAGGUCCCAGUCCAGUGGCUGCUCCUACAAGCAAAGGCUCACCCAUGGUAAGGAAGAAGCCGUACAGGGUUGGGCUCUGGCAGUGGCAGUGAAUUCUCCCUGCUGGAAGCAACAGCUCAACCUUUCUCCUUCAACAGCAAGAGAGUGAGAGGAGCCCGGCCCAGCCCAGCCCCUCAGCCCCAGCCAAAAUUUCACAGUUACUCUGCCCUUCCCAAGAGAAAAGCCCUCAGGUAAGAGAGAACACAUCUGCAUACUUCCCCCUCCUCCUCCGGGGCCAGAUCUUUUGUUCUCUUAAGUAUCAGUAGUUACUGUUUCUUAGCAACAUAUGGGACAAAAUUUCAUGAGAGAAGGAAGCAAAAGGAAAAAUCCUAACCCCCAACAAAAGCCCUCCUCUUUGGUCUCCCAAAGAAUGAGAGUUAACAUCCAUAAAUUAUUUUUGGUAGGGGAAAAUAUUUUCCCCUACCAAAUCAAAACAUGUAUUUUGAUUGUUAUUUUGUCCAGUAAAAGUUGUGUAAUACUGUUUUGCUGACUUCUCUGCUUGUUUAUCUCUUUUAGCAAGGAGGUGCCAUUACACAUCUCCUUUAUAGAGACAACAGAAACUUUCAUGUGCUGUCAUUAGGGAAAAGAAUACCAACUUUAGCCUUGUUCCUAACAAUUACCCUACUCCAAAGAGUAACUUUCUCCUUAUCAUCAGAGAUUUUUAAACACAAAAUUUGAGGGAGUUUUUAUUUUGUAUAUUCAUGAAAUGUGCUCUGUGAUCUUUCUUAAAAACUAAACUAACUGGAUCUUUCCACUGCUCAUCUAACACCAGCUAGGAAGCGUAAGAGAUGGCUAAAGUGAUGGUGUGCUCUCACAAUUAAGAGAAGAAUAUUAUGUUUAUGUUAAGAGAAGAUAUAUUGAUAUAUUAUUGUGAUUUGUUGUGCAUGGCCUUGGUAGUCGGGACAUGUGGAGGGAGGCCAUGUACCUUUGCCCCUUGCAUGGGGCAUUUGGAAGGAAGGCAGGGUUGUUACUAGGAGGCGUGGCAUGGCAACACCUGACCUCCAAUCAAGUUGCAAGAAAGCAGUCUCCACCAAUGGACGGUGAAGAAGAGUUGAUUGGCAGACUUUGGGCGGGGCCAGGGUUGCCUGAUGCAACACCAAAGUGCCAUUGAGAAGGGACUACUAAGAGGUUCCAUUGUGUUUUGAUAAACAUCUUGUCUCAAGAACCAGCAUAACUUGAAAUUCAUGGAUACUGGGGAGUCUUAGCUGGGACCACUGAGAUGCAGCCAGACUGCAGCACAUGAAGGAAGUAUCAUUAUUUGCAUUCAGUAAAUUAGGAGAAUAGAAGUAUUUCCCAGUGAUGGGGCUUCCUCAAAGCCUUCCUGCCUCUCUGUGGCAGAUCUGUGAAAAAUGAAGAUAAAAAUCCCAUGAAUCCCA